GCUCCGGUAGUUCAAUUGGCAGAAUGCUACGCUGUUAACGUAGAGACGGAGGUUCGAGUCCUCCCUGGAGCGCCA
rnacentral:tRNA from 1 species